GGGCCGGGCAGCGCCUCUCAGCUUCCCCCGGGGGCUCCAGGCACGGCCCCGCGCAGCUGCCGGGGCCCUGGGGGCUGACGCGCGGGGCGCGGGCCCCUGCACCCGGGGAAGAGGGAGAUGCAGAGCCCCGGUCCCGGCUGCACAGCCCGAGCCCCCGCUCGGGCUUUUCUCGUGUAUGGGGCCGGGCCGCGCUGCCUGCAGGGGCCCCCGGUGCCGCCGGGCAGACAAGGGGCUCUGACGUUUCCUUGCAGGAGCCGCCGUGACUCGGGACAAGAAGAUUUCCUGCCCGGCCUCCCGUCGGGCAGAAACCAGAGUCCCCUCGGGGGCGCGCAGCGGGGGGCAUGAAUAGACACACACGUAUCUGUAGAUAUGUGUAUAGCGAUAUGCACACACGCCCGCACAUGCACAGAUGGAUGCACCUAGAUACUUGCACCCGUGUACAGAUCUGUAUGCACAUACACAGAAAUGCACACAUACGCAUACACACAUGCACAUAUAUAGAUGCACAUAGCUAUUUACACACGUGCACACGCAGAGAUGCAUACACCUAGUUGCACCCUCAUUUGUACACAUACACAUGCAAAUGCAGGCAUACACAUAUAUAUCCACACAUGCAUGCAGUUAUAGAUGCACAUAGCUCUUUGCACAGAUGCACCCAUACACAUAUACACACACAUGCACACAUACGCAGAUAUACAUACACAUAUACACACAUACAGAUAUACAUGCACACAGUCAGAUGCACACACAUGCACGCAUACGCAGAGAUACCCACAGAUGUUUGCACACACAGACCCAUAGAUUGUAAGGCUGGAAGGGACCUCGGAAGAUCGACUCCAGCCCCCCUGCACCAUAUACACAGGUACACAACCAUAUGCACGUAGAGACAUAUGCAUGCAUACCUACACGCACAUAUACACACACAUAUGCACGCAAAUGCGUUUUUAAGGCCUAAAGCAAAGGAAACACCCGCGAUCCUUCCCUUCAACCUCGCGGGGAAGCAGAAGAGGAGGGAGGCGGCGGGAGAGGUAGAAGCGCCCCCCCCCGGCCAGCUCCAGCUGGGGGGUUAUUUCUUGUUCCCACUGGACACAAGGCUGGGAGAGCGCGGGGCUCGUUCCCUGCGGUGCAGCGGGGGGCACAUGAGCCUUGUUUCGGACGGGCAGAGGGAGGCCGCCGCGGCAGGAGGGGGCCAAGCACCUUGCCCCACCCCCGCUCCGCUCGGGCAGCCGGGCCCGCGUCGCGCCGAGUGGAAACUUUCCACCGCCGGCGGGUCGGGGAGGGGAGCGGGGCAGUUGGAGGCGCACACUGCCCCUUGCAACACAGCCCUGGCAGGCAGCGCCUGCUCUCGGCCCCGCUCCCUGACGCCACAGCCACCAAAGGCAUCUCUGGCUGGCACAGGGAGGGGCAAGCGUGCGUGUGAGAGAGACAGAGAGAUCCCUGAGUGCUGGAGUUUGCAAGCACUUUUCCCUCAGCAAAGAUCUGGAGAGAGAGAGAGAGCCCAUGGAGGCAGAGGGGCUCCUAGGCUCGCCCCUGCGGAAGCGAAGAGGCGACGUGUUGAGACCGCUCCCAGCCGGCUAGUGAAUGGGGGGACCCGACCGGGCGCCCCCUGUCCCAGCCCGGCAUCCCACCGCUUCCCCUCUCCGCCCGCCGCCUGCAGGCAGGGGGAGCUCGCCCGGCACCACAGCCCGGGCUCUGCAGCAAGGCGUGGGAUGAUCUGCAUCCUGUUCGUGCGAUCAUUUCCCCCCUUGCACCAUCAAUAAUCGUACAAACGUUCAAAACGGCAGACAAGGUUUGGGGAAAUCUGCUGUCUUUUAAUCAGACCGACUCCAAUAGCUGAGAAAACUCUUCUAAGCAAGCUGUAGGGUUUAAAUGCACCUGGAUCAGGCUGAGGAAGCACCUGCAGUUGGUGUGCGCUCUUCUUGGGUGGAAUGAAUAAUAUGUACCAUAAUUUUGGAGGGUCAAAGUUUUGUAGCCUCUCCCCUUAAAGUUUUGUAGCCUCUCGCCGUAAAGUUUCAUAGCCUCUUGCCUUAAAAAAUGCUCCCCUCAACAUGUAUGCUCCAAAUGGGUACCGCAUUUUUGAGGGAUGCUACCAGAUGCGCCCCUGAAACAUGGAAGAUGCCAAAUUUGAAGCCAGUUUUGGAUAUAAAUUUCAUUGCUGAAGGUCAAGGAAGAUUUCUACACCUCCCUGCUUUUCUGCUAUUUGACACCACCAGGGAAGGAGUUCUGCCUGAUCUGCACAUUAAAGGGCUACUCACAAAGACACUCUCAUGGACCCAGAGGAACAGGCUUCCACCUUCAGCUUCCUCUGUGCUAAAACAAAGUCUUUUCUACCUAUGGGGACUUUUUACCAUCUUUAAUUUUCCCUGAGUUUGAG